CUUCCUCAAACAUGUUUAAGAACAGGUAAGAUAAUAUAAAGCAUCCUCACAGUGCUUGCUACCCAUAAGAAGAAUUUUAUUGACUGGGAAAUAGGCUGGGGACAGAGAAAUUGAUGCUUUCUCUCUCUGCACAAACCAUUUCUGGGAACAGCUCAGAGUUCUGCACAUUUGUCACGGCUUUGUUACAUCAGGUGAGAGAGAUCUGCACAAGGACACAGACUUAAUAUAAUAAAGGACAGUUAAAGGAUAAAUUAAAAGGGACAUUUAAUGACCAAACCAGCAAGACACGAGGCUUGUGCAUCACUGGCACUCAGGUGAUUCACCCCAUUUCUCCAGGUUUAAAACACAAGGGAUUGUUUUACUGGAGAAUUCUGAGGGGGACUUUUUUGGGAGGUGAGAAUGGGGUGGGAGUUAGACCAGGAAAGCCGACGGUGGUGCCUCUAUUUGGGUACAGAGAAAGGAAACUGGGAGGCUCCAGCAAGAAUUUACUCCCAAAAAAGUAUUUUCCAACAGAUACAUAAAUGAACACGGUAUGAAUCCGGUGUGGAUUAACUCCCAGAACCACAAUUUCCCCCAAGGAGCUCUGACUGACUGUGCUGCUUCCCUCUACCGACCUCCAGUGUUGGUGCCGAGGCAGAGCACACAGAUCAGCAAAAAAUCAGCACAAAAUCAGAUUCUUGGAUUAGUAAAAGGGAAUAACACUUUGAGGAGUUAAGCAGGGUGAAAAAAACCAAUUAAAUGCUAAAUAUAUUUCAAGUCAGAGAAUACUAUGCAAUUCUGUUAUGAAAACAAGUUGUUUGUAGCCUCCCUGGCUACCCCUCUUGGUUUCCCAAUACAGAAUCUCAUCUGAUCUUUUUCUGGAGAGGCUGAAGGAAUAAAGAACAGGUACAAAAUGACCAACAAGAGGAAAAAUACUCCCCCUACAGUCUAUAGUAGAGAGUUUGGGCAAUAAAGUGGGAUAUUGGGGGUACAUUACAGGGAGGAAUGUGAAAUAGCUACAAUGUCAAUGACACCAUCAAUUUGUUGACUGCAGUGAGAGCUUCCUUCAGGGUCCCAAAUUCGGAGGUGAGAAACACCCAUCUUCUUCCUGGCACAGCCUGGGGCCAAGUCAGACUGAAACAGUGAAGAUCUGGAGAAAACACCAAAGCGGAUUUGGCAGGAAAUGAAAAAAAUGCCCAACUGAGUAAUGAAAAGGUGAAAGACAGGAAUAAAGUGAUUCAGUGGUUUCUCUGCUCUCUUCUAGACCUUGAUGUUUUCUGGUGUUUCCCAACAACUGCUUUUGUUGUUGUUGCUGUUUAAUGUGGAUUCAAGGCAAUCCACAUCCAGGCUGGAAUGAUGAGGUGGCUGCAGGCUGGGGAAGAUCAACGUGAGGUUUUGGUUCAGCCGUUCCCUCUCGUCCCUACCAGUGCCAGUCGCUGUCUGCGGAGCUCCAGAGCUGGAAUUUGGUGUGUUGG